rnacentral:rRNA from 1 species
AUGAACGCUGGCGGCGUGCCUAAUACAUGCAAGUCGAGCGAACAGACGAGGAGCUUGCUCCUCUGACGUUAUCGGCGGACGGGUGAGUAACACGUGGAUAACCUACCUAUAAGACUGGGAUAACUUCGGGAAACCGGAGCUAAUACCGGAUAAUAUAUUGAACCGCAUGGUUCAAUAGUGAAAGACGGUUUUGCUGUCACUUAUAGAUGGAUCCGCGCCGCAUUAGCUAGUUGGUAAGGUAACGGCUUACCAAGGCGACGAUGCGUAGCCGACCUGAGAGGGUGAUCGGCCACACUGGAACUGAGACACGGUCCAGACUCCUACGGGAGGCAGCAGUAGGGAAGAUUACGCAGUGGGCGAAAGACUGACGGAGCAACGCCGCGUGAGUGAUGAAGGUCUUCGGAUCGUAAAACUCUGUUAUGAGGGAAGAACAAAUGUGUAAGUAACUAUGCACGUCUUGACGGUACCUAAUCAGAAAGCCACGGCUAACUACGU